AGAGCCACGUUCGUUGUUCUUCUCCAGACGACAGAAGAUGUCUCUCGAGAUUGCCAGCUUGAGAGCUGGCUUCCGUCGCUUCAUGGCCAAUCCCACCACCACGGCUCUGUCGCCGUCGAGGUUCCACCGCCGGGGAGCUCCCAAUUUCUACACCCCAAUUCUUCGUCGCGCCAGAACUCCUUUCCCCGCGGCUCAAAUCGCGAAGGAGGUCGUGGAGACGAAGGAGAGCGUAGGGACGGAGGCCUCCUCUAGUCCGCCGGUGAGAAUCGUCGCCAUCGUCGGAGAAGGCGCGUUGAGCCCUCUUAAGGGCGCGACGUGGCUCGAGGUCAUGCUCCACACUGCAAAGAGACUGAAAUGGGUUGAUGAUGGAUUUGAAAUGCAUGUGUUUACAGAUAAUUUCUGCCAAUUUAAGGAUCGGGCGUCUGCAAAACUUCAGGAGGAACUGAGACAUGCAGAUAUCUUAGUUGCUGUUGCUGUAACAAGUCCAGAAUCGGUGAAGUGGAUUGAGAGAAACAGCGGAAAUAUCCAGAACAUAAUCAGCUUCGAUUCAUCCCCGGGAUUGAGUAACAAGCUGGGGGGAUCAUUUGUUCAAACUGAAACAAAAGGGACCAUUUUUGGGAAACUGGUGGGAACAUUUGAAUCAAAGCAAACCAAAGAGACCAGUCAAGUGAUUGAAACGGUAUCGGAGGCCUGGAUGCGUCGCAACUCCGAUGAUAUAAGGUUCUGUUUGUUGGUCAUAAUCAAUGCUUACAUAAGGCCAGUUCCAAUUCUGAAAAACCUGAGGUCAAAGGGUUUUUCCACAUUGAACUGCAUGGUGAAGAACUGCGGACCUCAGAUAUUGAACUGCCUCCUGGAUCCCAAUUGUAGAAAGGCUCUUCAGUGCUUGAACCAGUGUAGUCCCGUGGACCAGGUUUGCAAUUAUAGAUGUAUUGCAUCAUAUGAGAGCCCGAAUUUGGAAGCAUUUUCUUUGUGCGUUCUGCAGAAGAAUAACUGUCUUGAGUUGGAUGCGACAAUCCGUGAAAAACCAUACGUGCCACCCAUGGUUAAGUUUCGAGGCGAGAACAUCUGUCAUGAAUCUGCAGAAGAUCUCUUUGUGGGAUGGUUAGGUAAUCUUGAUUGGAGUUGGCGUGUCGUAGCGGGUCAAAACCCAGCUUACGAUCAAUUCCCAUGCCAGUACCAGCUAUUUUACAGAGGAAAAGCGAAAGGGUCCUUUUGGUAUGAGCCGGUGUUUCAGGUGAGAACUCUGGAGGGAAAGAUGGUUUGGAGGAGGCGCAAGUACCGGGUCAAGAGAGGCAAAAUCCCGGGGACGUUUCACUUCAGUGUUUUGGACAAUGGAGUGGUUUCGAACGAGUUCUGGACUAUUGUCGAUGUGUCCGAUGAUCUGAGCUGGGGUUUGUUUCACUACAGCGGAGCAGCCCGAGUUGCAGGGCAGUCCUAUACCGGUGCAGUGCUGGUGAGUCCGGACGGGCAGUAUCCGAAGGAGACAGAUGAUGGUCGAUUGGCGUCGGUGCUUGAGGAAUGUGGAAUAAAAGAUUGGGAGCUUUAUGCCGUCGACAACUGCUCAUGUCUUGAUCCUCCACUUGGGAUACCUCAAGGUUCGAGCUUGCAUUGCAUGAUUCUAACUUGACUAGCCAAAGUUGCAGAAACUAGAAAGAGAGCUGAAGCUUGUAUCAAAUGGCCUUUUGCAACUUUUUACAUGCUGUUGAGUAGAAUUAAUGGGCAUGUGAUAAGAUAUAUGGGUUUGGAUAUAUUUUAUGUUUUGAGGUCAUAUAUAUUGUAGAAUUAAUUUCUGAAAAAUAAAUCCUCAUUGCCUUU